AUCCUUUCCACCAUAAUAUUAGUACCCACCGCCAUAAUAAUAGGACUAAACCUAGGGAUAGCGUAUGAAAAGCAAGAGAGAGAAUUAGUACAGGGACUAGAGAUACUCCAAGAAAAAUGUGCCAACUCUAUACCAACCUAUAGAACAUUUACCAAGAGAUGGGGCACACCAGUACAAUGCACCAUAACAAAUGACUCACUGUGUCCAGGACACCCUUCAGUCAAGUUAAAACAGAGAUAUAAUAUUACGAAAUGGGAUCUGACCUGGGACCAUAAUGAUACCAUAGUGGUGUUGUGGAAAUUAGUGACCAGUAACACACUCCAAGGGUAUAUAGUAAAUAUAACUAAAGGACCAGUACUGGUUAAUCAGACAUGUGAGAAUGGACAAUAUAUGAAUUCAUAUAAAGGUGGCCAGUGGAGGGGACAGCUGGGUGAUGCAGAGACUAUAACGGAGAUCAAAUUUAUCUAUGAUCAAAGUACGGCCAGUUCACCUUGGGAAAGUGUUGAAUGCCACCGUUUAACGACUGCUUCCAACACCUCGGCCUGGCCUAGGAGGACGAAACCAACGCGUUGGCCUCGGAUGAGCAAAAAUAGCAUGACCACAAGUCAUGCAUCAGCACGUCAUGAAUCGGCAAGUUCAGCAGUAACGACAUCCCGUGAACCAGGCGAAAACAAUAUUAGCACCCUAGAGCGAGCUAAAAGGGAAGUGGCCCCCCUGACCACACUGGCGCAUGACAAAACAGAAGUUAACCUAACACACCCUGAGGGUCUAAGACAGGGUAUGGAUCAAGGGGGCUUAAAUAUAUUAUGUCUGAAAGGGAAUAGCUCCAGGUACCGAGUAAGGCGCAGCACGCAGAGGCGAAUAACAGGACCAAUCCCUGAAGCUAAAUGGUUGAAUGAUAUAGUGUUAUACCUACACCCUGGAAAUUCCUCCUCAUGGGAUAAUAGAAUACUGGGAGGAAGGAAGGGUAUUAUUUUACCGUAUGCAAAAAAUAGGACCUAUAAGUACCCAGGAUUUACUAGUGGCCCAUUAGAUAGAUUCCACCGGAUGGAAUAUGGAGUGUGGGGACAUGACAUUCCCCACUCCGCCAGGCCAGGAGAAAAACCAAUAAAGUAUUCCACCUCAGGAUGGGUAUGCCUUACGACACAGAAUAAUACAAACCCCGGGUUGGCCUAUCCCAGGUCAACCCCAUGGACAGCACUAGACCUUGGGAGUUUGAAAGAGAAUUAUCAACAGAGCCUUGAGAUGGCCCAAAGAAUGUGUGCUAAAGCCCCAUUAUGGAACUGGGGACAAGAACCAAAUAACCCGUUCUAUAGGAAAAAAGCAAAGACCGCCCAACAGUAUUAUGACCAAUGGGUUAGACCCCCCGCCAAUAAAACUGAGGCCUGGGCACGAUACCAUUGCAUCUCAGCCCAUGGCAUAUUGAAAGAAUCAGGAAUCCCCCACUUCCAUAGAUGGUCAGGGGGACAUUAUCCUUCACCUGGAAUGCUGGGGGUAGCUCCGGCCUUCUCAGGCAGGAAUGAGAACGCAAACCAAAAAUUGGUAGACAUGGUAAACGCACGGGGCGCUUGCCACUCCAGAGUAUUGGCUGGCGGAGGUAUUUUAAAACAUAUAAGAACACAGGACAAAAUGGAACAUGUGCAUCAAUUUGGAUAUAGUUUCCCCCCUAUAGGAAGACUGAACACUGAUACCCUUAUAUGGAUGCAGGGAUUAAUGCUACAGAAAUGGAAUACAACCAUGGGUAAAAUGAUUAGGAAUGCAUUGAUAAUGAAAGAAACGGUCAUUAAGAACUUUGAAGCCAGCACUAGUAUAAAGAGUACCACGGUGUCCAAAACAUGUGACCCAAUAGCAAUGGGAUGGGAUAAACGCCCGUUAGACCCCACUCCGUUAACCGGAGGAUACGUACAAUUAGCAUGCUAUGGAGGCAUUAAAUUCCAUGUAAACCAAGGGGAUAUAGCUGGCACCAGGGAUCAGACCCUUCGAACAGAUCCCUCUCUAGCAGAUUGGGCUAGAUAUACCCUUGAACCCAUGACCGCCCGGUGGCUGAUGGGAGGGUAUAAGGAAUGGGCCAUAAAGCUAAUGUGGCCACAACAGGACGAACCAUGGGGAGACCUAUGGGGAAAAGGGUCAGACUGGGAUAAGAAUAUGACCCUGACUUGGAAUAUGUCCACGUGUAAACAGUUAUUUGACAAUGGUACAGUAUCAGAAGGGUGCAGUAUAAUUAAACAAAACUUGGAACUGUUAAAAACUAUGGGGCAGGAAAACUACUGUAACAUAUUGAAGAGAAGGUUCUGGGACGAAGGAGCAGAUGGCAUAACGUGGUAUCGAGAUGAGGACACCACUAUGAGCAAUGCUUUAGGAGUCAACUGGUUAACUAGAGCAUGGGGGGGUUUUACCACAGGGAUGGCUAAAAUGGCAAAUGACAUAAUAAUGGAACCAGUAAAUAAGGUGGUCACAGCCAUAAAAGACAAAUGGGAAGAAGUCACUUCAUGGUGGCAAGAAAUAAAAGAAAGAUUCUGGCUAGGAAUAAGUAUUACAGUAGGGAUCUUGAUAUUCAUAACGCUUAUGAUAGCUCUAAGCUACGCCAAAAGAAUGGGACUUCCAGUAGAUGCAGUACUGAGGAAGGGGUGGCUAUCCCUAUUUAAAAUAAUUAAAAUAACCCUUAGACUACUGAGAGAGUUGUUAAAGUUAAUGCUAAAACUCUUGUGGAAAAUAUGCAAAGGAGUAAUAAUAUGGACUAUGGUAUACGAAAGAGUACAUCAAAGAUCUCCUGGCCGAUUAGAGCAACGGGAGACAGAGGGAACACGGGUAGACCUACUAGAGGUCACGAACUUGUGACCUGCCGAGGUGUCAACCGCAAACAUACACUGCUCUAAGAAAAGGAAGUAGGUAAAUGCAUGACAAGGGGAGGGGGCACUGGCUGAAGGUGAAUAAAGGGGAGCUGUUUCUGCACAAUAAGGCACAAACGACUUAAGCAGCCUGAGUGCAACACAAUAAAGAAAAGCUCCUAAACCAUAGAAACUACCAACAACCUUCUAAGAACAUGGCAUCCAACUCCUCCAACCAAUCCGACUUUGAGGACAGGGACCUGACUCAAAGCGACCCCCAGGAGGAGGUAGCUAUAACAUUGUGUCAACUACUACAGAUUAUGAUUUGGGGAAUGUUGGGUUGGAAAAAUAGGCAGGGUCAGGGGGUUAUAACGUUUUUAGCAAUAAUACUUACUACCCUAGUGGCAGUGAUUAGGUUUGGUUUAUCCAAAGGACGGACUGUAAUGUUGUCUAUGGUACCUGUGGUGGUGAUACAACAAGUGGCACCAGUACUGGGGAAACAUUAUGGGUUGAUACAAUUCGGAGAAACUAUGGCAGCAGUCUUCGGGGCAAUAGGCCAGAUAGGAGGCUUUAAAGUAAACACGACAGAUACCACAGGGCUAUGUGAACAAUUGAAGGGAUUUGCAUACGCUGGAUGGGUAAUGGAAGGGCUAAUUUUGGUAAUAAUAAUAAUGCAGUUGUGGAAAGAACUACAAAAACUGAAAAAUAAAAGAAGCCAAAUUAGGAGACAGGUAUUAGGAAAAGCACUACCCAUGGUAAUAUGGGUAGUUAUAGCUAUGGCCCUUAAUGCCGUGCACCAUUUUCACAGGAAAUGGAAUGAACUAAGGCAAUUAUGGGUUUUGUGCUUACCAAUCUUUUCUCCCCCUCAUAUCCUUAGGAAAACCCCGCAAAGUGUGACAGGGAAUCAGAAGCUUCAGAGGAAGAACAGUUGUAUGAGGAAGCAAAGAUCCUAGGAGGAUGGUGUAUGGCUAGAAUGGAGACAUUCAUUAAACAUUGGCAAAUAAUGGAUAUGCCUGAACUGAAUGACUGUUGCGAGGAGCAUAUGUCUUUUACAUACGUUUGUAAAGCUUGCUUUUGUAGUGCAACAAGUAAUAAGUAUAAGUACUGUACAUAUGCAGAAGAUGAAACAGAGGACUGGCCCAAAGAUGGGUCAUAUGUAAACAUUCUAUUGUACGGCAGAAUAACUGCUAGAUCCGUAACGGAGGACAGUCAGUACCUCAAGAGUAGGUAUUGGUUGAAGAUGGAAGACGGGCAGGAGGUUAGCUAUGGCAUGAUACAGAGAAUAGAUGGGCUAAUGUUAGGGGUAUGCUAUGAUGGGGGAAUAAUGAGGCGAGGAACUAAGAGAAAGGAGUGUUCAGAUGCUGGAGAGGGUGUGACAAGAGAUGAAAAGAAUCUGCCCACUCCAUCAAGCAAUGGGGACCACAACACAGGACAUUCACGGGACCUCAUGGAACCAUGGACCGCACCUGCAGAAACUGGACAACGGGCGGAAGCAGAGGAGAUACCUAUCAUAGACUUCUCCCAGCUGACGCUUGACAUACCUCCUAUGCCACCUCCAGUGGUAGAAACAACCAGCUGGUAUGAUUGAGUAGAAUCAGCCAACAGUAACACGGAAGCAGCAAUGUAACAAUGUGAGAGUCAGUAGUGCAUGACCUUAAAGGGUAAUAAUAGGAAGCUUCCGUUUAACACACAGGCCUAAGAUUACGUAGGUCUACAGCCCCAGUGGGAACUUCCCCUUUAAAAAGAUAUAUAAAGAGAACAGAGAUCAUAAGACAGUAUGAUCCUCGUUAACAUAUGAGACAGACUUCAUAUGGAGAAUCAUCACAGGUAAAUUUACUAUUGCACUAUACGCUUUUUGUUAGACUAUAACAAUAUUAGAAAAUUGGCUUAUUUUGUCUAUGUACUUAUUGGAUCACUAUCUGAAUAUACUUGGUUGAACUUGGUGACCCCGAGACUGAGUCUACGAAAAACAGAGGUCUAAACACCUCUUGAAUACAGACAAAGUGGCGGUCACUCAGUGAGACAUCAGGUACAGAUGUGAUUGGCAAUACAAGGAAACAGCAAAAUACCAGUUACAAUAUAUUGAGUCUAUACACAGAGUUGGAAGUGAAUAGUGUUAGGAUAUACGCUUUUUGUUAGACUAGAACAAUAUUAGAGAAUUGGAUUAUUUUGCCUAUGUACUUAUUGGAUCACUAUCUGAAUAUACUUGGUUGAACUUGGUGACCCCGAGACUGAGUCUACGAAAAACAGAGGUCUAAACACCUCUUGAAUACAGACAAAGUGGCGGUCACUCAGUGAGACAUCAGGUACAGAUGUGAUUGGCAAUACAAGGAAACAGCAAAAUACCAGUUACAAUAUAUUGAGUCUAUACACAGAGUUGGAAGUAACUAGAAUUAGGAUAUACGCUUUUUGUUGGACUAGAAGAAUAUUAGAGAAUUGGCUUAUUUUGCCUAUAUACUUAUUGGAUCACUAUCUGAAUAUACUUGGUUGAACUUGGUGACCCCGAGACUGAGUCUACGAAGAACAGAGGUCUAAACACCUCUUGAAUACAGACAAAGUGGCGGUCACUCAGUGAGACAUCAGGUACAGAUGUGAUUGGCAAUACAAGGAAACAGCAAAAUACCAGUUACAAUAUAUUGAGUCCAUACACAGAGUUGUAAGUGUAUUAAGAUAUUAGAAUUCGGAAUCUAGCGCCGUAGCUGCGAGAAUACCGAUUACGGGGCAGAGACCAAGGGGCUGAGCACUUAAGGUAAUUGAACUAUUUUUGCUACUUAGUCAAUAUUGUUAGAAGUGUUAACGCAUUUAAAGUUUUGCAAUAUUAUCUGGCAUAGCUUAAAGCAUUAAGGAUUGAUUGAGCAUUAUUGUUGUAUUGAGAAACUGUAGAACCAUUGAAUUGUAAUGAUGUGUAUAAGACAAAAACAGAGUGACUUAAUAAAAGCUUGAAACUUUGACAACUAGACCAGAUUAACGAUCUGGAGAGCAAACGCCUUUGACACUCUCAUUGAACAGAAAGUGACCCUGGUUAUAGGUUAAAGUGAUUGCACUAAAGAAUA